rnacentral:rRNA from 1 species
CAUGCAGUCGAACGGUGAAGCCCUUCGGGGUGGAUCAGUGGCGAACGGGUGAGUAACACGGUGGGCAAUCUGCCCUGCACUCUGGGACAACCCGGGGAAACCCGGGCUAAUACCGGAUACGACCCUCCAGGGCAUCCUGGGGGGUGGAAAGCUCCGGCGGUGCAGGAUGAGCCCGCGGCCUAUCAGCUUGUUGGUGGGGUGAUGGCCCACCAAGGCGACGACGGGUAGCCGGCCUGAGAGGGCGACCGGCCACACUGGGACUGAGACACGGCCCAGACUCCUACGGGAGGCAGCAGUGGGGAAUAUUGCACAAUGGGCGCAAGCCUGAUGCAGCGACGCCGCGUGAGGGAUGACGGCCUUCGGGUUGUAAACCUCUUUCAGCAGGGAAGAAGCGCAAGUGACGGUACCUGCAGAANAAGCACCGGCUAACUACGUGCCAGCAGCCGCGGUAAUACGUAGGGUGCGAGCGUUGUCCGGAAUUAUUGGGCGUAAAGAGCUCGUAGGCGGCUUGUCGCGUCGGUCGUGAAAGCCCGGGGCUUAACCCCGGGUCUGCGGUCGAUACGGGCAGGCUAGAGUUCGGUAGGGGAGAUCGGAAUUCCUGGUGUAGCGGUGAAAUGCGCAGAUAUCAGGAGGAACACCGGUGGCGAAGGCGGAUCUCUGGGCCGAUACUGACGCUGAGGAGCGAAAGCGUGGGGAGCGAACAGGAUUAGAUACCCUGGUAGUCCACGCCGUAAACGUUGGGAACUAGGUGUGGGCGACAUUCCACGUCGUCCGUGCCGCAGCUAACGCAUUAAGUUCCCCGCCUGGGGAGUACGGCCGCAAGGCUAAAACUCAAAGGA